UACGGAGGAUGCGAGCGUUAUCCGGAUUUAUUGGGUUUAAAGGGUGCGUAGGCGGACUAUUAAGUCAGCGGUGAAAAGUUAAGGCUAAACCUUAAUCGUGCCGUUGAAACUGGUAGACUAGGAUGUGGAUGAUGUGACAGGAAUGUGUAGUGUAGCGGUGAAAUGCAUAGAUAUUACACAGAACACCAAUUGCGAAGGCAUGUCACAAGGCCACAAUUGACGCUGAGGCACGAAAGUGCGGGGAU
rnacentral:rRNA from 1 species